rnacentral:sRNA from 1 species
UUUUAUAUUUGCACAUUUCGCCCUCAUCACAGUGUAUUUAAGACUAGGGGAAUUCCAUUGUUGCAGAUAAUGCUAUGGAAUCAUUAAAAUUCAUGAGGGCCAUUUUUAGUGGAUUGCUUUAAAUUCACAGGUUCAUGGGGACAUAUGUAAUUUUGUGUAUACACAUAUCUACGAAAGAAAUGUGACUUCAAAACCUUAAUUAUUAAUUCGUGGUGGAUGUUCAUUUGUGGAUGAGAGGUGCCAACAAAUUUUAUGAAAAUUGAGCCACCAUGAAAUCUAAUGAUUCCAUUGUAUCUCUUUUAAAACAACUGUAUCUGGGCAAAUUCAAGACGGUUUGAAACCGUUUGCAGGUGUAGAAGAGCAAAAAUUACACCUGGCGAAAAUUACCCUGUACAGUAUAUUUUUUUUCAACGUGAAUUAGGCUAUAGAAAGCUUUGUUUAUAGGAAAUUGUUACUUAAUGUAUACAUUGUGUACAUUUAAAUGUUCGAAAAAUUUUCUUGGAUAAAUAAAUUGUAAAAUUG